rnacentral:rRNA from 1 species
CGCUGGCGGCGUGCCUAACACAUGCAAGUCGAGCGGAGUUAACAAGAGGAAGUUUCGGAUGGAAUUUGUUAAUUAGCGGCGGACGGGUGAGUAACGCGUGAGCGACCAACCUUGCACAGGGGGAUAACGGACCGAAAGGUUCACUAAUACCGCAUGAGACCACGGUGUUGCAUGACACAGAGGUCAAAGGAGCAAUCCGGUGCAAGACGGGCUCGCGUCCGAUUAGGUAGUUGGUGGGGUAAUGGCCCACCAAGCCUAUGAUCGGUAGCCGACCUGAGAGGGUGAUCGGCCACAUUGGAACUGAGAUACGGUCCAAACUCCUACGGGAGGCAGCAGUGGGGAAUAUUGGGCAAUGGGGGGAAACCCUGACCCAGCAACGCCGCGUGAAGGAAGAAGGUUUUCGGAUUGUAAACUUCUGUCCUUGGUGAAGAGAAGAAGACGGUAGCCAAGGAGGAAGCCCCGGCUAACUACGUGCCAGCCGCCGC